UACGUAGGGUGCGAGCGUUGCCCGGAUUUAUUGGGCGUAAAGGGCGCGUAGGCGGCCACGCACGUCCGUUGUGAAAUCGCUCGGCUCAACUGGGCGGGGUCAGCGGAUACGGAGUGGCUGGAGCAAGCUAGGGGGCAAUGGAAUUCCCGGUGUAGUGGUGGAAUGCGUAGAUAUCGGGAGGAACACCAGUGGCGAAGGCGGUUGCCUGGAGCUUUGCUGACGCUGAUGCGCGAAAGCGUGGGGAGCGAGUCCGG
rnacentral:rRNA from 1 species